UUGUCUUCUAUAUGGUUUUCCUCUAUUCUUAUGUUUGUAGAUAGACCUUCAUGCUUGCCUACGUGUCUAGAUGCAGCAAGUAAGUUGUUCAGAUUUUGACUACUAUUGGUGAACUUUGCUAAUUUAUCUUUUAAAUCAUAAAUUUCAACAUUCAAAACAUCACAUUGUUCACAUAUAUGAGUCUCAAUUAACUUAGUAGAGAAAGUACA
rnacentral:lncRNA from 1 species